GUGAAUUCACAUAUGCUCCGGCAACAAUUCCUUUUUUUAAACAAUAGGCUUUCGAGCAUUUUUCUAUUCCUGUUCUGUGCAGGAUUUUAAAUACGUGUGUCCGAUAUAUGGUGCGACGUAAGCGGUCUCGCAUUAUAAAUUGCAGACGUGGCUCUUUCAUAAAUUUUCUUCAUGGCCGGUAAUGUGUGCCCCCGUCGUUACGCGCAAUAUGCGGUGGAAACCUUCCUUAUUCUUUUCACGUUGUCUGGCAUAGUUUCUACAUACCUGAAACCCUAUGGACAUUAUGUACAGAGCGGCGUAUUCUACGGCAGGCAAGGUUUCCAAUAUGCGUUCUCCUAGAGAGAUCACAGCUGCGCUGCUCCUUCUUUUAUUGUUAACACGAAGAGUGUAACGUGCAGCGCUGUAUCUACGGAAGAUCCAUCCCUGUAUGACCGUAGAGUAGUUGGGUCCGGUGGGACAAAAGAUCCAAGCGAAUUUCACUAAAGCGGUAGGCGAAGCUUGCAUGAGCAGUGAGGAGUGCCAAAAAAAUCUGUGUUGCCUGAAACAGCAGUCAUCCAGUACCUGCCGACCAUUGGCUACAUUUCUACAAUUGUGCUCGGCAGAACAGAUCAGAGGUGCCAUCUACUCUGAGCACUGCCCCUGCAAACAGGGGCAAGACUAAGGCGCAAGGCGAAGCUUGCAAGAACACCGAGGACUGCCAAAAACAUCUUUGUUGCCUGCGACAGCAAAAAUCGAAUACCUGCCAACCAUUGGCUGGACUCCUCCAAAUGUGC